AGACGUCUACGAUUUGAUCAUGGCUCAGAACGAACGCUGGCGGCAUGCCUAACACAUGCAAGUCGAACGAACCCUUCGGGGUUAGUGGCGCACGGGUGCGUAACGCGUGGGGAUCUGACCCAAAGGUUCGGAAUAACUCAGAGUAAAUUUGAGCUAAUACCGGAUAAUGUCUUCGGACCAAAGAUUUAUUGCCUUUGGAUGAACCCGCGUAGGAUUAGCUUGUUGGUGGGGUAAAGGCCUACCAAGGCGACGAUCCUUAGCUGGUCUGAGAGGAUGAUCAGCCACACUGGGACUGAGACACGGCCCAGACUCCUACGGGAGGCAGCAGUGGGGAAUAUUGGACAAUGGGCGAAAGCCUGAUCCAGCAAUGCCGCGUGAGUGAUGAAGGCCUUAGGGUUGUAAAGCUCUUUUACCAGGGAUGAUAAUGACAGUACCUGGAGAAUAAGCUCCGGCUAACUCCGUG
rnacentral:rRNA from 1 species